rnacentral:piRNA from 1 species
UGAGUUGUUCGUGGCUAAGCAUGCUACAUU